CGGAGGUCUCAAGCGUUGUUCGGAAUCACUGGGCGUAAAGGGUGCGUAGGCCGCACGGUAAGUCAGAGGUGAAAUCCCGGAGCUCAACUCCGGAAUUGCCUCCGAUACUGCCGUGCUUGAGGACUGGAGAGGAGUCUGGAAUUCACAGUGGAGCAGUGAAAUGCGUAGAUAUUGUGAGGAACACUAGUGGCGAAGGCGAGACUCUGGACAGUUCCUGACGCUGAGGCACGAAGGCCAGGGGAGCAAACGGGAUUAGAUACCCCGGUAGUCCUGGCAGUAAACGGUGCACGCUUGGUGUGGCAGGAUUCGACCCCUGCCGUGCCGGAGCUAACGCGUUAAGCGUGCCGCCUGGGAAGUACGGUCGCAAGAUUA
rnacentral:rRNA from 1 species